rnacentral:rRNA from 1 species
AAAGAUUAAGCCAUGCAUGUCUAAGUACAAGCCUCAGUAAGGUGAAACCGCGAAUGGCUCAUUAAAUCACACCUAAUCUACUGGAAAGUUACAAGUUACUUGGAUAACUGAGGUAAUUCUUGAGCUAAUACAUGCGAAAAAUCUCGACUCACGGAGAGAUGCUUUUAUUAGAUCAAAGCCAAACGGCUUCGGCCGUCUCAUUGGUGACUCUGAAUAACUUUGGGCUGAUCGUAUGGCCUUGUGCCGACGACGUUUCCUUCGAAGGUGUGCCCUAUCAACUGUCGACUGU